ensembl:lncRNA
AAAAGAGAGUGCUCUCACUAAAGCUGUAAUUUCUGCUGGCAACAAAGCAAAGUCUGAAGGCCAUAUGGUCUUAACAUUGUCCUCUUUGUUGACUGUGUCUUCUAGAUUGCAGCACAUAACUACAACCUUUAUCAGAGUUGAAACCUGCACCCUUAACUCUGGGGAAGGUUGUGUUUCAGGUUGCUUUCCUUCCGCCCCAAGGUCCUUCAGUGGGAACACAACUGUGUCAAAGUUUUACUUUAUCUGCCUUGUCAAGGAACACUUUCUAAAACUAGGGAUACUCUAUUUCUAGAUGACUAGCACCUAUGACUCAAAGUCUAGAAUUGAGUAGUUUUUCUACUCCAAACCGUCUUUCAUAUUAACACUAGUCUUGGCACAGCAGUAGGUAGUGGAAUCCCUCCUAGAAACAGGUGAUAUACUUCCAGAAAUUUUGCCAGUUAGCAUAGAUGCAUGACCUUCUCAAGUGAUGCACACCAAGCUAAUUGUUGCUUUUAGGUGUAAAGUAUGUACUGAAUGGUAUGGAAGUUGAGAAUUUGUCUAAAUGAAGGGCAAAGUAGGGCUUUGUAAGAUUUAGGAGGAUAGAAUAAGUCUUAGUAUGUCCUUUGCAUCUAGUUUUGACAUCUUUCUUGAAUGUUUAACAUCAGAACAUCAAAGCAUCUUGUAGGACCACUAUGCAAGCAAGGUAGCCCAGUUUUUCCAUUAUGCAGAUGACACAACUGGGACAUAGAGAGAGCAAAUGACUUGCCCAGAAUCUCACAGAAAGACUGGAAAAAAGUAAAGAACUGAUCAGCACUCCCUAUGGAAAGUUAGCACAGUACUUUCUGCAAAAUCAUUUAUGUGUAGGGGUUUUAACUGACCAGGCAAUUGUUUAUUUAUCUGUUAUAUUCCAGAACUUCUUGCUGUAUUCUUGUUUUCCUAUUUCUGGUAAAUAAAUCUUUCAAACAACAUCUCUCCGUUCAAGUUGAUUAACACAUUUUUUCCUAACCAAAGAGGUUGUUUUUAGGAAGUUUGUGCCAUAGAGGAGUAUUGUAGCACGGUGAAUGAUCCUUUGAGAUUCUUGCUGGAGAAAAUAUUUUUAAGUUUGUGGAAAAGCCUUGUCCAAUGACAACACCCAAGGGACUUGCUGCUGUGACUUUGGAGGCUUGCCAGUGUGAUUCCUAUCUACAAGAAGAGUCUGAGGAGGACCUGGGAAGCUACAGACCCAUCAGCCUGACAUCGAUGCUGGGAAAGGCUAUGGAAUGGAUCAUCUUGAGUGAGAUCAUAUGACAUUUGUUGGACAACUGGGGAAUCAGGCCCAGCCAGCAUGGGUUCAUGAAAGGAAGGACCUGCUUGACAUGUCCGAUCUCCUUCUAUGCAUUGUUAGCUCUUCAGCAAAUUCCCAGCAGAUGGCCUGGCAGACAAGGUGGUGGGAAGGAUUUCUGUCAUCUCUUUUCCAGCAGUGACUGUCUGAUGGGGGAGCAUUGAGAUCUCUUAACUAUAUUCUCUGAUGCUAGGAGAACUUGUUUGGAUCUGCAUGAAUCCCUCUUCCAAGAGAAGUCUAGAUAUUUCCAAUGUUCUAAGAUGACAGUUGCUUGCUUACUUAGAAAAGAAGCAUGAAUUUCUUGUGAAGUGCGAUGUGCAAGGGACAUCCAGGUCCUAAGAAGAGCAUAAAGAAGUUGGUGGUUGAGAAGGAAGAGUCAUUGGAGAUCAUCCCUAAGAUUCUAAAGAAGUUAGUGAAAAAAAUGUGUGAACGUCCCUCAUUUCUCAGGAAGUUGAAAGAUAUAAAGGAAGAAGUGGAGGUUGAAGUUAGUGUCACAGUACCCAAGACUCUUGACAGUCAGAAAAAAAAGUGCCUGCAUCCAAAAAGACAGCUGUGAUGGAAGACAGUUACACAUCCCAUAUGCAAUACGCAUCUACAUUUUUUGCAGCUGGACAAAAGCUGGCUGUUCAAAGAAAUGUGAAGAUAUUGUGUCAAAUCCUGACAAGGUUAGCCUGUAACAUUCCUGAUAGAAACAAAACCACUGAACAUGACAACAAAAGAAUUGCUAGCUGCAGUGUUUGAAAUGGACCUGGUAAGGAAAAUGCCAAACUUCACCUGGAAGUUCAAUGGGCAAAUGUGAAAGCAGGACGAUAAGUAUGAGAUCAUUACUUUUGAUGAUGGAUUGGCCCACGCUUACAAUACUCAGUCCUGUGAACUUCAGAACUCAGUGCUGAAACUGGAGAUAUAGUGCAGAAAGCUCCAUUCUUCAUUGAUCACAGGUUCAGGUUCAGUUCAUCAGCAAACCUGAGAAUACCCAAAUGAAAAAUGGAAAAUCCUGUCUGGAGUGUGUGCUGAUUUGGGGAUAUGUCACUCUGAAAGGGAUUGAGGAAUUGAUGGGUGAUUGAAAGGUCUCAAGAACACCAGGAAUCAUGAAUGGAAGAGAGCAGAACUUAUCAUAAUGUUGAUGAGCCAAGAGAUUCAGGAACGUGUAUAGGCAUUGCUGUGUAAGACAGUGAAUCUAACAACUGCUACAGCAGCACCAGUGUAACUGGGAAGGUGCCUCAGUCUCGAGGGGUAGAUGUCAGGAAAGAAGCUGUCACCAUCACCAGGAACUCCUCAGCCCAGGAUGGACGUUCCUCAGUGCAAGGCUAUGUCAUAGAAGGAAGGAAAAAGAAGGUAACUGAAGGAUACAGCAUGAUACAGUGUGAGUUCAACCAUGCAGGGCCUGGAUUUCCCAGCGCACCUUUAACCACUUGUUGCAAAGGAUCCCACCGAGCCUGCAGAAGUCCUGAAGGUUCUCUACGUGGUGGAUUUUUCCAGUUCUAGCAUCUCCUUAGCCUGCCAGGAACCAAACAAGGAAGCUGUGUCAUCAAGAUACAUACUAGAGGAUAUAAGUGGAGGACACCAAGGAAUGGACAAAGUGCACCAAGAUCCCUAUCUCUAGUACCACUUAACUCUGCAGGAGGCUUGCAGGACAGACAUAUCCUUCCAAGCUGUGAGUGAAGCCAGUGUGGGAAAAGCAAUGGAGGUACAGGAAGGAAUUCUAGAAAUAGCACCUCCAGGUUUGACCUGACUGUGAGGCUGAAGAGCCACAUGGUGGUUUGUGCUGGAACAGCACGGUGCAUUCAUACGUCUUUGUCCAUACGAACUAGCUUGCUCCUUAGAGAAAUUUUCAUUACUGUAAUGAUCUGCUGGGGGUGGGGGAGCUAGGGAUCUCUGCGUUGUAUUUUGUACAUCGUCUCUUCAGAGUGCUUUUUAAAAUUAGCAGCUGUAUUUUUUCAUCAGAAAGGAAUUACAUAUGACAAACUGCUGAUCGGGUUCUUCAAGCUAGAAGAAAUGAAGGAGAAAGUACUUCAACUAAAC